rnacentral:rRNA from 1 species
UACAGAGGCCUCGAGCGUUAGGCGGAAUCACUGGGCUUAAAGCGUGUGUAGGCGGACUUCUAAGUACCUUGUGAAAUCCCACGGCUCACCCGUGGAACUGCUCGGUAUACUGGUCGUCUUGAGCCUUCUAGGGGCGAGUGGAACAAAUGGUGGAGCGGUGAAAUGCGUAGAUAUCAUUUGGAACGCCAAUGGUGAAAACAACUCGCUGGGGGAAGUGCUGACGCUGAGACACGAAAGCCAGGGGAGCGAACGGG